GAUGAACGCUGGCGGCGUGCCUAAUACAUGCAAGUCGAGCGAAUGGAUUAAGAGCUUGCUCUUAUGAAGUUAGCGGCGGACGGGUGAGUAACACGUGGGUAACCUGCCCAUAAGACUGGGAUAACUCCGGGAAACCGGGGCUAAUACCGGAUAACAUUUUGAACCGCAUGGUUCGAAAUUGAAAGGCGGCUUCGGCUGUCCCUUAUGGAUGGACCCGCGUCGCAUUAGCGAGUUGGUGAGGUAACGGCUCACCAAGGCAACGAUGCGUAGCCGACGUGAGAGGGUGUUCGGCCACACUGGGACUGAGACACGGCCCAGACUCCUACGGGAGGCAGCAGUAGGGAAUCUUCCGCAAUGGACGAAAGUCUGACGGAGCAACGCCGCGUGAGUGAUGAAGGCUUUCGGGUCGUAAAACUCUGUUGUUAGGGAAGAACAAGUGCUAGUUGAAUAAGCUGGCACCUUGACGGUACCUAACCAGAAAGCCACGGCUAACUACGUGCCAGCCGCCGCGGUAA
rnacentral:rRNA from 1 species